UAUCUAUCAAUCUAUCUAUCAAUCUAUCUAUCCAUCUAUCUCUCUGUCUUUCUAUCUAUCUAUCUAUCUAUCUAUCUAUCUAUCUAUCUAUCUAUCUGUCUAUCUAUCCAUCUAUCUGUUUAUCUAUCUAUCUAUCAAUCUAUCUAUCCAUCUAUCAAUCUAUCUAUCAAUCUAUCUAUCCAUCUAUCUAUCUAUCUAUCUAUCUAUCCAUCUAUCUCUCUGUCUAUCUAUCUAUCUAUCUAUCUAUCUAUCUAAGAGGCCGAGGAAGGGCGAAUGGCACCGCGAGUGUCGCGUUGCUCUCAAGCAACUCUGCCGUCCUGGGUCGACCUUAAGUGACUUCAACACAACCAAAGCAUUCUAUAGGGGUUUAGUGGAGGGGAGGUACGACGACGAGCUCGGGGCGAACCUGGACGUCGACGAGGAGUACCUGACCCGCCUGUUCAGGACGACUUUCGGGCCAGGGCCCAUGGACAACUUCCAGAGAUCCCUGGCCUGGCAGUGCUACCGAGAAGCGCUACCCGUUCGGGAUAAGCUCUACAGACACGGCUCGAGAAACACGGGGCCGACCUGCCCGAGAUGCGGUCAGAGCGACGAAACCGUUCUGCACGCACUCGUUCAGUGUCCAACAAUUUCCGACCUGUGGGCUUAUGUCGAACAACUGCUGUCACGUGUGGGACGAGUCGGUUUAUCAGCUGAGUCUAUCGUCAAUAUUGUCACGCCUCCUUCCUUCAAACGGGAAGGAAGAGCUAUUUUCAUCAUCCUUGUGGCUAUGGCGAAAGAAUGUAUCUGGUGGACGCGUCUGAAAGGAUUGGAGACAAACACUUUCCUCUCUGGUCAAUCUCUCAUCAACUUCUUCAAGUACCACUUGAAAAGGAAAGUGAGAGUAGAGAGGCAAGUUUUGUCUAGCGAAUGUUUUAAAAAAAGAUGGGUGAAUGUAGCAAGAAUGGCACGUAUGAAUGACGAAGCCACCUUGAGCAUAGUCCUAUGAACCCAGAAAUCGAAAACAGAGAGUUGCUUAUUUGCAAAAAAAAAAAAAAAGAAAUAUAAAAUGUGACUUCAUUGACCGAGGUUACCGUGGUCUUUUCCGUAGGCUUUUCUUUCCACGGGUAAACCUCACCUGUCCUCCCCUUUACACUUCAUAUUGACAUUUCUGUGAUAACGAUCCCUAUUGAUCAAUUUUUUUUUUCCUCUCCCCCUUUUUUUUAACCCCCCUUUUUUUUUGUCCUCUUUCUCUCCUUUUACGAUCCCUUUUGAUCGAAACUCCCCCUUCCUUUUUUUUUUUUUUUUUUUUUAAACCUUCAAAAGAAAAGCUCUACCUUGUAAUUUGUUCUAUCUGUGUGCAGCCCUGUGUGGCUAAUAAAGAAACAUAUCUAUCUGUCUAUUUAUCUAUCUAUCUAUCCAUCUAUCUAUGUAUCUAUCUAUCCAUCUAUCUAUCUAUCCAUCUAUCUAUCUAUCUAUCAAUCUAUCUAUCAAUCUAUCUAUCCAUCUAUCUAUCUAUCAAUCUAUCUAUCAAUCUAUCUAUCCAUCUAUCUCUCUGUCUUUCUAUCUAUCUAUCUAUCUAUCUAUCUAUCUAUCUAUCUAUCUAUCUAUCCAUCUAUCUGUUUAUCUAUCUAUCUAUCAAUCUAUCUAUCCAUCUAUCAAUCUAUCUAUCAAUCUAUCUAUCCAUCUAUCUAUCUAUCAAUCUAUCUAUCCAUCUAUCUCUCUGUCUAUCUAUCUAUCUAUCUAUCUAUCUAUCUAUCUAUCUAUCUAUCUAUCUAUCUAUCUGUUUAUCUAUCUAUCUAUCAAUCUAUCUAUCCAUCAAUCUGUCUAUCUAUCUCUCUACCUCUGUGUGCAGCCCUGUGUGGCUAACAAAGUAGCAUGCCUGUCUGUCUGCCACUCCGUCUUUCUUUCAAUGUGUCUCUUUCUAAGAGUGUCUGUCCGUCUAUCCAUCAAUCUGUCCAUCAAUCUCUAUAUAUAUCUAUUUCUCCUCUUCCCUCUCUCUCUCUCGGAGUGGCUGUGUGGUAAGUAGCUUUCUUACCAGCCAGAUGGUUCCGGGUUCAACUCCAUUGCGUGUGGCACCUUGGGCAAGUGUCUUCUACUACAGCCUCGGGUCGACCAAAGCCUUGUGAGUAAAUUUGGUAGACAGAAACUGAAAGAAGCCCAUCAUAUAUAUGUAUGUAUAUAUAUAUAUAUAUAUAUAUAUAUAUAUAUGUAUGUGUGUGUAUAAGUUUGCGUGUCUGUGUUUGUAUGUAUGUAUGUAUAUAUAUAUAUAUAUAUAUCCAUCCAUCCAACUAUCUAUCUAUCUAUCUAUCUAUCUAUCUAUCUAUCUAUCUAUCCAUCUAUCUAUAUAUGUAUAUAUAUAUAUGCACAUACACACACUCAUCCUUGUUACUUGCGUGAAUUUUGUGACCUAUUCAAAUGUAGAAACUCCGGGUUAAUGUGCAGUAAUUUGUGUAGUAUAAGUAAAUAAAUGGAGUUGAACGAAGAUGUUAUUAAAAUUCUUUUACUUUCGACAUAUGUUUCGAAGAUGACAUUGGUUUUAUUCCAAAGGAAUAAACGGUGUAAAAUGCAAUCUUCUCAUCAGGAAAGAAAGAGAGCAUAUCUCAACAAGACAUUAUAUAUGUCGAAAGUAAAAGAAUUUUAAUAACAUCUUCGUUCAACUCCAUUUAUUUACUUUUAUAUAUGUAUAUAUAUAUACAAAACUUUGGUUGGUUCAAGGCUAUAGUAGAAGACACUUGCCCAAAGUGCCAUGCAGUGGGACUGAACCUAAAAUCAAUUCGGGUGGGAAGCUAACUUCUUACCACACAGCCAUACCUGCACCUAUAAAAGAAAUAUGCCAAACACCAGAUGUUGAAUAGCUACUACUUUAUUUAUUCAUUUAUUUGCUUGUUUAUAUAUUUAUUUAUAUAUUUAUAUAUUUAUUUAUUUUUUGCAGCAAAGGUCCCAGUUGUUGCAGGAAUUCGUGUUGAGCAGAACAACCCUAAAAAGAAACGGAAACUCAGAAUGUCUGACACACUAACAGAUUUUCAGAUGGGUUUUUUUUUGGGGUUUGUAAUUGCUUUUAUUCUGAUAAUUGCUCUAAUUAUUAAAAAAAUAUGUAGGGAUUUUUGGUGAGGCUGGUAGGAGAAUAAUAGAGAAUUGGUGAAGGCAGAUCUUUUCGGUUUGAACGAUAGUUUUUCUAGUGGUGUCAUAUGAAAUUGUCACCCAUAAUUAUGACCCUAGUAUUGAUUAUUGCAUUUGAAUCUGUUUUAGGGUUUGGGGGGAUAGGCAAGGGUAUCUUUUUUUCUUCAGAAAUGUAAAUAAACCCAAUCUGUUUCUUAAACGAGGGACAUAUUCAUACAGCA
rnacentral:lncRNA from 1 species